CAGAGAAAUGGUAGAGGGGGUGGGAAGAUGCCAGAGCUGGGGACAGCGAGAGCAUGAUGCGUGCGCAUGUGCACAUGCGCACAUACCCACACACAUAAAUUGUCACAGAGAAAAGCGCUCAGCCAAGAAAGGGAAUGCGGACAGAGAGCGCGCUGUGUGCUGGCCUCCUCUCCUCACAGGGUGGGCUAGGCCCCGGGAGGGACAGUGGGGGCCACUCACCUGCUUCAUACAGCACUGACAUCCACCCGCUGUUGCAAUUCUCCAAAGGCUCGCCCACAUCAGUCCUUUGAGUCACUACUAGAGGAACAAGAAUAGAAAAGCCCAAAUAUAAUAUUAAAAAAAGGUGCUGCAUUAGCUCUUUGAUGCAGAGAUGAACUUGCCUAAUGUCCACUUACAAUAUCCAGCCCAUUGGUUUGAUGAUGUUCAGACAUUCUCAUAAUACAGAUUGUGAUGUGUUAGGUUAGAAAUGCUACCCUGACAGCCCCAGGGUCCUCAUUGCCCUGGGCCACCUCCCAGGCACAGCCCUAUCACAGUUUUUGCCUCAGAGCUCUUUGAAUCCCAGCAGGAUGCUCCCCCAGAUGGACUAUUCAUGAGCUCUACCAGAAGCACUUACUGCUUUUUUUCUCCCAAGACUCCUUUUUGUCUUCCUUUAAGAGCAGUUUAGUUUUACAGCAAAAUUGAGGGUCAGGUGCCGAGAUUUCCCAUAUACUCUCUUGUCCCUCAUAUUACCUUAUCACUUCUUAAAACCAUCUCGUAAAGUUACUUUUUCUCGGACCCCAGUGCUUGCCGUUUGAGGUCUCACCUCCAGAGGGAUUACUAAAUAUGUACGGGGUUUCUGGGCCCACCUUCUCCCCUACUUGGUGCCCUUUCCAAGCACACGGGCUAGCAUCACUUUCUUGUGGACACUGAUGUAUCUCUUGGAUUUAUUUAUCAGAAAGUCUCACACUGGAGAGAUGCUUUUGUAACUCUCAAAUAUGGGGAGUCCCUUGGAAGGUUUUUUGUUUUUCUGAGGAUUGAACCUGGGGCCUCACAGAUGCUGGGGAAAGCACUCACCACUGAGCCACAUCCCCAACCUUGAAGAAUAGUUUUGAUAAGGAGCAAACAUUCAAGUAAACUUGUUUUGUAUUUGGCAUCCUUAUGUGCCAGAUCCCGUGCUAAAUGUGUUUGCAAGCCUUGUCUCAGCCCUCAGCAGUACCGACCGGAGCUGUUUCCACCCUCUCUGUUGGUGGAGCUGUUGGAGGGAGACGUCCUCACACCCCUGCCCCCAUAAAGCUUGCAGGUGGUUGAGCCUAGUGGAUGCCCAGGCAGGCCAUCAGCACAUCACUGUGGCCAACAAGGUCAUCACUCCCCAGUAGGGAAUCUGAGGCCCAACAGGUUAACUCCCAGGCUGUCCCAAGGCUCACAGUAGCAGAGAUCAGCCUGGAUCGCACCAGCUUCCUUACACAGCCUCCCUACACAGCCUCCCUGAUAUCCCCUGGGGAAAAGCUGGUCAGGACAAGACGAAGGGCUCAGAGGAUGGCCCACUGCACCUUGUGGGUCUCCAGGGCAGCUGACUUAUGCACGUUCCCUGCCUCCCGCCUAUCUCCUGCAGCCUCCAAAGAGGUAUAUUGCUGCUUACAGACGUCAGAGCGUUUUAAGGUACAGUCAGUGAGGGUUGUUUGGUUUGUUUUAUUUUCUUUUUUGUGGCACAGGAAGCUUAGAAAAUAAUAAAAUACUAUUUAUUUGAGUUACUGAAACAGAUUCAUUUAAGGCUUAUGUAAAAAUUCUGUUUAAAUAUUCUUUUUCUCUAUGAUUUUCCUCUGAGGCCUUCAGCAUGGUUUAGUUUGGGGUAAAUAAUUGCCUUUAAAAGGAGAAAACAAAUCAAUGCUGCAAAGUGUGUGUUGAAGGGAAUCCAGUGUUGCCACUGUCUCACAUUUUGAAAUAAUUUUGUAACUGUAAAGAUGGAAGAUACGUUGAUAAGUAGAUAUGUAAAAUUGUAAAUAAGUAAAAGAAAAAAAAGAAUGGCAUCUGCUGUGCAUGGCAAAAAGAAAAAGGUAUAUUGCCCAGUCACAGCUCUUAACUGCCCAGUUUCCCCGGAGGCCGAAGGUAAGAGACUCAGCACAGAGCCUGAUCCUGGGCCACCUGGACCUUUGCAACCUAUGGCUGCUCCUCCACAUGCUGUCUGCUUCUUCUCUCCAGCAGCCACUACUCAGAAAUGCCUUUUGCCUGGAACCAGAAGAUUCCAUUUUGGACACCCACUGAGCUGGGUCAACAGGGACUGCUUGGGGAUACAUUCCAGUCUCUCAGUGGAUGCCUGAAACCAUGGAUACUUCAGCAGCCUGCUUCCCGUUCCUCUUGCCUCCUGACAAGUGCUCCUGACCUCAGCUGGAGACCAGGAAUGAGGCUGCUUCUUCUGUCAUGUGGCUCAAUGAUGUCAUCAAAGACCCAGAUUUUUCCCUUGUGGUUGGUUACAAGAUGGUUUGCAACUUCAGACUUUAUCAUUUAUAUCCAGGAAGAAAAAGAGAAUGCCUUGCUUCUGGCAUUUCCAGAAAAUGCUGUUCUAAGAUUGUCUUAAGUGACUUGAGGCUUAUGAUCAAUUUUAAACCAAUCAUUGUAGCCAGAAGGCGGGACUAUACUGAUAGCAAAGGUUAUAAAUCUCACUCCUGGAAGCAGCAGUGAUGUUAGCUUUUUUUGAACGACACUGAAUUUCAAGUGACGAUUAGGAGGGGAAAGUGGGAAAGUAUGCUGAAGAGGAAACCAAGCUAUGUGCAACAAUGGCCUGAUCAUGAGAAUCAGAAAAUGUUGAUUUGGGUCAACGUGGAUUGUGAUAGUGGGGAAAUCCUUAGCUACAGCACUGGUGGCCAAGUGUACUUGUGAGGGGAGAGUAAGUGGGCUUCUGCCCCAAGCAGUGUUUCGUUCCUAGGAGUGGGGUCUUGGGUCAACAGUUUGCAAUCCCUUUCUGCCAGCACUCGGGCAGGUUCAUUGGCUAGGCUGAGAAUAGAUCCUCGCAAUGACUCUGGAAUGCACUUGGUUGGAAGAGCUGAAUGCCAGAACUGAGAGCUGGCACCUUGCUCAGCCACUCCUGUGGCCAGAACCCUAUUCUCCCCAAAGCAGGUGUGGCGGCAUGAGUGUCUCUCCAUUGUAUUUCCUUGUAAUCUGGACAUUAAUCCAAGCUCAGCAGAUGUAAUGCUAUCACACACAAUGGUACUGUGACCAACCUCAGGCCUUCUUGUCAUCACAGGUUGCAGCACACAAUCCCAUGUGAGAGCUUGUUUACUUGUAUGCAAUACACAGGUUUUGCUUGGUUCAAUGUACUGUGUUACAACCACCCAGCAAUUUGCAUGUUCUUCCUGAUUAUCUGGUAAUUAAACCCAGUAAGUACAAACAUAUUGUAAUUAUCGUGUAACCGACCAUCUGGACAGAGAGAUGGAAAUAACUGUGUAUUUAUGCUAUAGCUGUAUGAUAAUUAUGAUGUAAUGGAAUGAUCAGCCAUGAAUGAGAAGAAAGACUUGAAAGAGUCAUGAUCAUACUUUAACAUAUUUCUAGCAUUAAUUCUGACAUUAAUUUUCUAGAAAUAGCAGAGCUGUAAGGUAACUUGGCUGAUGAAUCCCAUCCGGAUGGAGGCAUUGAAGGCGUAGUUAAAGACUAACUAAUAAGGAACUGACUGCUGAGCAGGAAGUAAAUGUGCCCACUCAUUUAUUUGGAUCUUGUUUACACUUCAUUGGACAACACUAAGCGUUUGUUUAUUUGAACUGGUCUCCCAUUUGCAUGAGAGGCCUCUGUGCCUGUCAGUAAAUGAUAAUGUGUUUGAGUUUGGUUAGUGUGUUUUGCUUUGCGGAUCUUAGAUUCUUGGAGGAUAAAAUUGGCUGUUCAACCACAGAAGAAGUUUUAAUAUAAUAACAUUUGUACUGUUAGGAAAUUGUUUGAAAAACACACUUACCCUUUUGGCUAAAACCACAAACAAUAUCCUAACCAAAGACUGUGCUAAACAUUGUUUCAUGGUACUUUAAUUCUGAUGCAUAUAUAUAGGGAACAAAGAAAAUAGUGAAUGAAGCAUGAGCAUAUGGCAAAGGCAGAAAAAAAUGACUAUAAUUUCAACAUGAAUAUAGCAGGGUUUCAGCAGAUGAACUUGAAUUUUUAGGUUAUAAGACUUAAACUGCUAUAUUUCUAUCAAAACUAAAAUGUUAUGAAAGUAGAAUGGUCAUUUCAUAUACCACUAAAAAGGAAAAAAUGCCAUCAAAUAAAUAUCAUGCAAUGUUUUCUUGCUAUAAGAAUUCUUAAAUUACAUUUACUGAAAGGGCUUUUGUAUUUAGAGAUGGAUUUUAAUCAUAUUUUUUUUUGUGUGUGUGAACUCAGUGAAGAAAUAAAUCCACAAGGCAUUCCUACAACACCUUCCAAUGAGGAGUCCAAACCUUUUUUGAAUUGCUAUUUGAGUUUCUGAUGUCUGUGUUUUUGGUACACUAUGAUCCUCCAAGCCAUUGUGCAUAUUGGUGAUUCUGCAUUUCCUAAAAUGGUACUUGGCCAUUGCCUCUUCCAUUUUCUUCCCAGGCGAUUCCACCCAUCCCACGAAUUAUACAGCAUUACUUGUGGCUCAUCAUUUGUAAUGGUUCUGAAAUGGUAUUCACUGUUCUCAUUAAGAUUUUGAAAGUUUUCCUUCUGCAAAUAUUUAUAAGAAUAUUAUAUGAAUAAAAGGAAACCAAUAAAACAAAACAGUCUUCUUUGGAGUCACAAUUCUUCAAGUUAAGAUUCUUUCAGUAUGAGUCAG
rnacentral:lncRNA from 1 species